rnacentral:tRNA from 1 species
UAAGUAGAAGCUUAAUUGUAGCGGUUGAUUGUUAAUCAGAUGGGUGUAAAGUUUAAUUUAUUUACUUAG